CAGUAGCCACGGUAAUACGAAGGGUGCAAGCGUUGUUCGGAAUUACUGGGCGUAAAGCGCACGCAGGCGGUUUGUUAAGUCAGAUGUGAAAUCCCCGAGCUUAACUUGGGAACUGCAUUUGAAACUGGCAGGCUAGAGUCUUGUAGAGGGGGGUAGAAUUCCAGGUGUAGCGGUGAAAUGCGUAGAGAUCUGGAGGAAUACCGGUGGCGAAGGCGGCCCCCUGGACAAAGACUGACGCUCAGGUGCGAAAGCGUGGGGAGCAAACAGGAUUAGAUACCCCUGUAGUCCCUGUCUCUUAUAC
rnacentral:rRNA from 1 species